rnacentral:misc_RNA from 1 species
GAUGAGAACGUAGCGAAAUGCGAUAAGUAAUGUGAAUUGCAGAAUUCAGUGAAUCAUCGAAUCUUUGAACGCACCUUGCGCUCCUUGGCAUUCCGAGGAGCAUGCCUGUUUGAGUGUCAUUAAAUUCUCAAGACCUGUCUGCUUUUUUGAUAGGUAUUGGAUUUUGGGGGUUGCAGGCUGUUUCAAAUAAAUAGCCUUGCUCUCCUUGAAUGUAUUAGUGGAGAAAAGCCAUUGAACUCCAUUGGUGUGAUAAAACCUAUCAAUGCCAGGAGCAAUAUCACUACUUCUCUCUGCUGUCUAACUGUGACUGUCUGUAUUAAUUAGUAUGGAUGGGGACAACUUGACCAACUUGACCUCAAAUCAGGUAGGACUACCCGCUGAACUUAAGCAUAUCAAUAAGCGGAGGA